AACCCUAACUCACCCCACCAUUCUCAUCUUCUCACUAACCCUAACUAAUCAGUCUCCAAGCGUCGUUGUCCUCUUCUUUGCCACCCUCUUCUGCGCGUGUCUCGCCGCCUCUUAAGGUCCCAUCGGCGGCGUCUUCUCCGGUCUCGUCGCCAUCUCCUGAGGUCUCCUCAUCGUCUUCUUCUGCAGUCUCGGUGUCGUCACCUACGUCAUUGAGAUCUUGGCGUCAUCUUCAAGCAGAUCAAACAACCAUGACUGUGCCAAUUCCGAACGGGAUGAUCGUCGCUUGGAGAUAUUCUCACUACCGGUGAUCACUCUGAGCUCGGUAUUCCUCCCUCUGCAUCAUUUCUUUCAGCUCGAUGUGCCUUCUAACACAGCCGGUUUUCUUGUGCCUUAUUUUGGUAGAAUGAUCUAAUUGUCGUUUCUGUGGUGCUUGAAGGAACUAUUUAGUGAAUUUUUUAUCUUGAUCUGCAUUGUCUUUGAAUUAGGCUGUAGAAAUGA